rnacentral:lncRNA from 1 species
AGGAUAUUGAACCCCUUUUCAAAUAUUCACUGGCUGUUUGUGUUCUUCUUUAGAGAAGCAUCUAUCUAGUUUGAUCGUCCAUUUAUUCUUUAGAAGUGGGUAUCCAGUUUCCAAAGUACUAGCUGUUGAAGAUACUAUCUUUGGAUAUCUUUGUCAAACAUUAGGUGACUGUAUCUGUGACACAGCGACAAAUGACAACAACAUUUCUCAUCAGGGAGGUAAAUGAUGUGGCUGAUGUUUGUGAUUCCGUGGAUGUGCUGGAGCUAGUGUAAGUCAGUCUUGCACAUUGCUGGCUAGAAGAUGCAGGCUGCACUGAAGUACUCACGCAGUGCUGGAGUCUCUACAAUCUAGCCAUCCCAAGGAGACCCAGAUUCCAUUCUGCUUGAAGUCAGAUUCUCACCACUAAGCUUUAGCUGCACCCAAACUUGAAAGAUAUACUUGUACAAGUUAGCACUGCACAACUCCAGGGAGCUCGCUGUUUCAUGAUGGUCCUGGAAUCAUCUCAGACUCUCAUUCUCUCUUCCCAGAUCAG